GACGAACGCUGGCGGCGUGCUUAACACAUGCAAGUCGAACGGUGAAGCUCCAGCUUGCUGGAGUGGAUCAGUGGCGAACGGGUGAGUAACACGUGAGCAACCUGCCCCUGACUCUGGAAUAAGCGCUGGAAACGGCGUCUAAUACUGGAUACGAGAAGGGUCCGCAUGGGCACUUUCUGGAAAGUUUUUCGGUUGGGGAUGGGCUCGCGGCCUAUCAGCUUGUUGGUGAGGUACUGGCUCACCAAGGCGACGACGGGUAGCCGGCCUGAGAGGGCGACCGGCCACACUGGGACUGAGACACGGCCCAGACUCCUACGGGAGGCAGCAGUGGGGAAUAUUGCACAAUGGGCGAAAGCCUGAUGCAGCGACGCCGCGUGAGGGAUGACGGCCUUCGGGUUGUAAACCUCUUUCAGCAGGGAAGAAGCGAAAGUGACGGUACCUGCAGAAGAAGCACCGGCUAACUACGU
rnacentral:rRNA from 1 species